rnacentral:tRNA from 1 species
GAGCUCGUAGCUCAGUUGGUAGAGCAACGCCCUUUUAAGGCGUGGGUCGUGGGUUCGAGCCCCACCGAGCUCACCA